rnacentral:snRNA from 1 species
AGUUUUGCGCAGUGGCAGUAUCGUAGCCAAUGAGGUUAAUCCGAGGCGCAAUUAUUGCUAAUUGUUAAAAUAUUUUUG